ACCCCGUGAACCUUUACUAUAGCUUGACACUGAACAUUGAGCCUUGAUGUGUAGGAUAGGUGGGAGGCUUUGAAGUGUGGACGCCAGUCUGCAUGGAGCCGACCUUGAAAUACCACCCUUUAAUGUUUGAUGUUCUAACGUGGACCCGUAAUCCGGGUUGCGGACAGUGUCUGGUGGGUAGUUUGACUGGGGCGGUCUCCUCCUAAAGAGUAACGGAGGAGCACGAAGGUUGGCUAAUCCUGGUCGGACAUCAGGAGGUUAGUGCAAUGGCAUAAGCCAGCUUGACUGCGAGCGUGACGGCGCGAGCAGGUGCGAAAGCAGGUCAUAGUGAUCCGGUGGUUCUGAAUGGAAGGGCCAUCGCUCAACGGAUAAAAGGUACUCCGGGGAUAACAGGCUGAUACCGCCCAAGAGUUCAUAUCGACGGCGGUGUUUGGCACCUCGAUGUCGGCUCAUCACAUCCUGGGGCUGAAGUAGGUCCCAAGGGUAUGGCUGUUCGCCAUUUAAAGUGGUACGCGAGCUGGGUUUAGAACGUCGUGAGACAGUUCGGUCCCUAUCUGCCGUGGGCGCUGGAGAACUGAGGGGGGCUGCUCCUAGUACGAGAGGACCGGAGUGGACGCAUCACUGGUGUUCGGGUUGUCAUGCCAAUGGCACUGCCCGGUAGCUAAAUGCGGAAGAGAUAAGUGCUGAAAGCAUCUAAGCACGAAACUUGCCCCGAGAUGAGUUCUCCCUGAGACUUAG
rnacentral:rRNA from 1 species